UACGUAGGGUGCGAGCGUUAAUCGGAAUUACUGGGCGUAAAGCGUACGCAGGCGGCUGCGCAAGACAGGUGUGAAAUCCCCGGGCCCAACCUGGGAACUGCAUUUGUGACUGCGCAGCUAGAGUCCGUAAGAGGGGGGUGGAAUUCCACGUGUAGCAGUGAAAUGCGUAGAGAUGUGGAGGAACACCGAUGGCGAAGGCAGCCCCCUGGGAUGAGACUGACGCUCAUGUACGAAAGCGUGGGGAGCAAACAGG
rnacentral:rRNA from 1 species